rnacentral:lncRNA from 1 species
UUCCGAUCGGACACUUCCGGUGGAAGGACUGAGCGGCGCUACACUUCAAGAAUUCCGUCCACAGGGACUUGUGAGUCUGCGCAGAAGGCGGGAUGCCUUUGGACUACAAUUCCAAGAAUCCUUCCUGGGUCUCUUCGGGCGCAGACUUUUCGCCAAAGUCCUGAAGAUCUCAGGGCUUGAAGGAGGGGGCAUCUUUUUUCUCCAUUGUAGUAGUGUGUCUUGCUAAAUAACAGAAGGGACUCCUGAAAAGAAAAUGACGUUGGCCGGGCGCGGUGGCUCACGCCUGCAGUCCCAGCACUUUGGGAGGCCGAGACGGGCGGAUCACGAGAAGGGUGGUGAAAUUGAAGCCCACGCAGCAGGGUUGCAACUGAAACUUCAUCUCCUCUGCAAAACCUUCCUGCAUUCCCAGACAACUUUUCUUCUGAGGCCUUGUUUGAUUCAUCCCCUUACCCCAGUGGAACUCAGAUAUUCAAAAUGGUAUUAAUUAAAACCACUGGCUGUCAUUGGUCCAUGCAUGGCCUUAAAGUGUGAACAUUUUUUAAUCCAUUACCUAGUCUAUAAGAACUGUAGAUUGACAACAACUUAGAUUUAAUACUACUCUUUUUCUAGUCCCUCUCUAUACUACCUCUCAUCCGAGGAAACACUAUCACAAAUUUUGUAUUUGUUGUUCCCUUGCUUUUUAACAAGAUGAUUCUAUUAGAUAUGUACUGUUUUGUCCCCCAAAAGUGGUGGCAGGGGAGUUCACACAAGGGAGUGCCCAAAACCGUCCUAGUUGGGGCUGGUUGGGAUUCCAAAGAAAGGAGCACUAUGUGCCAAGGUGAUCUGUCCAAAGCAUUUAUUAAGGGAACUUACAUAGUGUUGCAGGAAUCCUCCCCAUGGGUGGUGAGAGAAAAGGGACAUUCUACCUAGAUAUGUCUGCAGUGAGGGGGUCAGGGUAUGGAGUUUAUAUAAGGGUUUAAAGAAUUUGGCUCAGGGCCAGAGCUAGUUUCUUUCACUGUUUUCAGUGACAACUUAGAUACCUUUAUCAGUGCCUGGGAAUGUUCAAGACCCAAGUUUGGGUUCAAGCAUGCUGGGAAAAAAUCUGCAGCUGGCUAGGUCACAGAGAGGUCAAGGCACUCUGAUUUUCAGUCACAGAAUAGUCAAGGCUCUGUGAUUUCCAGUCAGAGAUCCUGCAAUCCAUUUUCCUGACUGGCUCUUACAAUCUCACAUGCCCAUCUCUUCCUAUAUGUUCCCUGAGCUGGUCAGAAAGGGUGGGAUCAUCGGCAAUUUCUUUCCCCUGGCUUUAUGAAACACUGCAAACAAAACCUACACUAACAGUAAAUACAAGUGCACCUGACAAAAUCUAAAAUCACAUUUUCCAAAAGGCUUCCUAGCAGAGCUUUCCACCAAGGACCCCAUCCUGGAAAACAUGACUUUGUGUAGACCACCAGGCAUACCCUAUGUGGUCAGUAAGCUGUAAUUGCUUUCGUGAGUGAAGGACGGAUUGAUUAACUUCAGCUUCUUUGUCUAGAAUAUACACACAAUGUUCACUUUUGUAAAGGGCACAGGUUCCCCCUUGCACAGAUGUCAGCAUCUCUAGGGCCAUUUGGUUUUGUAGACCACUUUUUUCACUGCAGCUGUUUCAAUGUUCAAGGCCUCCAUACCAUGUUUGGUGUUGUUCAAAGCUGUGGAGACAAAUCUCUGAAGGGCUUCCAGCUUCUACACAGUAUCAGAAGAACCUCCUGGAGGCACAAAUAUAGUCAAUAAGUAAUCCCACCAAGAAAAAACAGGUCUACUCCACUGACCUCUCCAGAUGGACUCAUUGAGGGAUACAGGAAUGGUGCCAGAGAUUCUGGAGUCAUCCAAGCCACCCCAGGGGAAGCCAGGGCUGGAG